rnacentral:rRNA from 1 species
GACGAGGGGUCCAAGCGUUGUUCGGAAUCAUUGGGCGUAAAGCGGGUGUAGGUGGCUUUGUAAGUCAGGAGUGAAAUCCCCGAGCUUAACUUGGGAAGUGCUUUUGAAACUGCAGAGCUUGAAUGUGGGAGAGGAUCGUGGAAUUCCAGGUGUAGUGGUGAAAUGCGUAGAUAUCUGGAGGAACACCGGUGGCGAAGGCGGCGAUCUGGCCCAACAUUGACACUGAGCCGCGAAAGCGUGGGGAUCAACCAGG